GGUUGUAGCUCAGUGGUUGAGCACUUGCCUCAAAUGUGAGAGGCACUGGGUUCGAUUCUCAGCACCA
rnacentral:tRNA from 1 species